rnacentral:rRNA from 1 species
UACGAAGGGGGCUAGCGUUGCUCGGAAUCACUGGGCGUAAAGGGUGCGUAGGCGGGUCUUUAAGUCAGGGGUGAAAUCCUGGAGCUCAACUCCAGAACUGCCUUUGAUACUGAGGAUCUUGAGUUCGGGAGAGGUGAGUGGAACUGCGAGUGUAGAGGUGAAAUUCGUAGAUAUUCGCAAGAACACCCGUGGCGAAGGCGGCUCUCUGGGACGGUACUGACGCUGAGACGCGAAAGCGUGGGGAGCAAACAGG